AGCUGGGAAAUUCUUGCUCUUCACGUGAACAGUACUGAAGGAUCGCGCGAGAGCGCCAUCUGCCGAUGCGGAGCGCUCGGUACAACAGCCAAUGAUUACUUAGCAGAGCGUAGUAAAGCUGUACAACUGUUGUUUCUUUUCUCGUCCGGACUAGGUCCCAGUCCGCUACUACGGUAGCAUUUCGCAACUCGCUUUUAUCGGUACUGUCGUUAUAAAAAGGACUGCAAUAUGCAAAUUAAAAAUUAUUUUAGGACUGCAGUAGCCCUGUGCAAUAAUAUGGCUUGAUACUCUGUCAAGCGUUUGUUUUAAAUACGUAGUUGUUUAGAUUAUAUAAUAUUAUAUAUUUGUAUUGUAUUUUAUGUCUUGUAAGCUGCCUUGUGAGCAGCCUAAACAUGCCCUAAGCCUAAGGUAUAAGACAGCUUCCUAAGUUCCUACUACUGUACUUUGAUGAGGCUUACUCCCAAGUAUGUUUAGGCUUGGAUUCUUAUACCAGGGGUGGCCAACUCCCAAAAGACUGCACUCUACUUACAGAGUUAAAAACUGGCAGUGAUCUACCCCGUAUUUUAUGGGUACAGGUAAAAGUUGUUGAGCUUAGAUCGUAGAAUUGUUGAGUUGGAAGAAAGCUAGAGGAUCAUCAAGUCCAACCCACUGCAAUGCAGGAAUAUGCAGCUGUCCCAUAUGGGGAUCAAACCUGCAACCUUGGCAUUAUCAGCACCAUGAUGUAACCAGCAGAGCUAUUCAGGUAUCUACCUCCUUUUUAAAAUGUAUUUUAUUACUAUUAUUUGUAUUUUUAAAGAUUGCAGUGUGUUUGCAAUAAACAAUAACUUUGCAAUACAGUAACGGAAAUUCCCAACUAAAAACUUUACACUAAACUGAAAACAACAUAUGGCUGUGUUGUCAUUAUACUUCCUAUUUCAAUACAGCAAGAAAAAACCCAUUUCUCAAUAAAUUUAUGGGGAGUUAAAUACCACUGAUAAAAUGUCUUAUAAGUAUGGAAAUUGAUAAAAUGCAUGUUGCUACAGAAGAAUGUAUCCUAGUCAAGACACUGCAUAGUCUUCCUUUGAUGUGGUCCAACUUUAGAUGGAGUCCAACAGGGUGGCAACAGCUUUGCCACAACGCCCCCUGGUCCUGACUGAUUUGUUAAAGUCUUAUGGCAAAAAAAAAAUCAAGACUUAGGAAGUCUGCCUGAUUUCUAUCAGUUAAGAUAGCUGAUAGCAUGGAAUGCUGUUUAUGUUGUCAGUUUGAAAAUAAGGAAGAUGGAAAGCAGGGGAAGAGAGGGAAUUGACUUGCUCUCCCCCCUCUCCCCGGAAUAAUUUAAGGGGUGUUUCAAGACAAUACCAUUUUUCUUUCCCACUCUCCAGAACUGGAUACCUCCCCUCUUAUUUCAUAUAGGGAACCACGUUAGGAGCUAGGAGCCCUCUAUUGCUAUAUGUACUGUAUAGUACAGCAGGGGAAAACUUCAGAGCCUUCUCCUCCCACCCCUCAAUUCUUCCUGCUCUAACCUAAGAGCACUCCUGUGGAGCAGAUCCCAUUUGUAAUUGUUUAUCUGUUGAAGUUUUAUCCUGCCGUUGCUCCAGGGACCUAAGGGUAGCGAACAGGGUCACCCCACGCUCCAUUUUUUUAUUUUGGUUUUUGGUUUCUACGAGUGAAAAAAACGUUUUUAUUCAUAAAGUACUCCAAAAUUCGUAUAUUUUUCAGACUCACGACAUGUUGGUGAAAGAGGAAAUUAAGGCUGCUAUCCAAGCCCCACAUGCCCAGAAGUAAGCCCAAUUCAAUUCAAUACGACUUACUCCUGAGAAGAACUGGCUAAUAAGGCUGCCUGCAUUCCUAAACUACAGAUGGAAGAGCCAUUCAAAGCAGCGGGGCUUACUUCCGCAUAUACAUUCACGGGACUGCGCUGGAACACUUCCUUUUCAACCUGCGGUAGCAAACCCCCGUGGAAACACACAAACGCCCACAAAUAAAU
rnacentral:lncRNA from 1 species